CACCAGGUUGAUUCUGCCUGACGUAGACGCUAUUCCCUAAGAUUAACCCAUGCAUGUUUUUGACAUUUGAAAAAUGGACUGCUCAGUAAUACUCACUUUAUUUUAUGUAAAUUUUUGAUUAAUUAACUACGUUAAAGUGUAGAUAAGAUGUUUACAGUAAGAGCGAGACCUAUCAGCUAGUUGUUAAGGUAAUGGCUUAACAAGGCUGUGACGGGUAACGGUAUUACUUUGUAAUAUUCCGGAGAAGGAGCCUGAGAGACGGCUACUAAGUCUAAGGAUUGCAGCAGGGGCGAAACUUGACCUAUGGAUUUUAUCUGAGGCAGUUAUGGGAAGUAAUAUUAUAUUGUUUCAUAUUUUAAAAGUAUAUGAGGUGAUUAAUUGGAGGGCAAAUCAAGUGCCAGCAGCCGCGGUAAUACUUGUUCCAAGAGUGUGUAUGAUGAUUGAUGCAGUUAAAAAGUCCGUAGUUUAUUUUUUAAGAAGCAAUAUGAGGUGUACUGUAUAGUUGGGAGAAAGAUGAAAUGUGACGACCCUGACUGGACGAACAA
rnacentral:rRNA from 1 species